CUUGCCUUCCUUCCAUGUUUCUCUCUCUCUUCUCUAGUGUGUUGUCUGACCCACUUUCUCGGUCUGUCCUUGUCUCUACUUGUUAGGUCUCCUUUCGUUGAACACGGGCAGGCGUGCUAGGUGUGCAUCCCCACUGGCUAGGUCUCGGAAGCCAUGUAGAAGUGGAAGGGGACAAAAAUCACGCGGGGCAGUGCGCGCGAGAGUGGAGCAUCACUGUCAGUGUUGACGCAGUCUCUGUUCAUCGAGUGGGGUCGAUGUAGACGGGAUGGGAGAGGGAGGCAAGGAUGAGGGCAAGAUUUUGCCCAUCAAUUGAGUUUUGUGGAGUGAUGGCUCCUGCUUGGCUUAUUUGUGGCGCUUGCAGAGGAACAGUCGAGCAGCAGCCGAAGGAAAAGCUGGCAGAGGUGGACCUGAGCAGCCUGGACAUCCUUGUAAGCAGAGAUUAAAAGUCCUCCGCUUUCUGCCUUCCGCAUAACUGACUAGGGAGAAUUUCCCUAUAUUGGGAGCAGCUGAUCUUCCUGGACAGGGAGGAGCAUGUUCACCUGAGCAGAGGCCUGGAACCGGAAAGAACUUUGGGCAGUGAUGGCUCCUGCUUGGGUUAUAUGCUGUGUUUGCGGAGGAAUCGCCCAGGAGCCCCAGCCAGAGGAGAAACUGGAAGAAGUGAACCUGAGCAGCCUGGACAUCCUUGUAAGCAGAGAUGAACAGUCCUCCGCUUUCUGUCUUCUCCAUGACUGGCUCUGCGCUUGCAGAGGAAUUGGCCAGGAGCCCCAGCCACAGGAGAAGCUGGCACAAGUGGACCUGAGCAACCUGGACAUCCUUCUAAGCAGAUAUGAACAGUCCUCAGGUUUCCGCCUCCCAGAUAAUUAGCUCUGAGUAAGAGGCCAGUGCUUUGAAUUCCUCAUGUGUGCUCCCUCUAGUUUUCUUCACAGGCCGUGUGGUUCCUCGUUGGGUACGGGCUCUGUGGUAUCAAGGCUGCGGAGGGGCCAGAGUCUACUCUGCAGAGUGACUAUGUCGGGUGCCGUUAAGGGGGCCAAUACAGGGAGGAGAAAAGGGAAAGCGACCUGAACCCUGAUUACAGGGCAGUCACCCUUUCUUUCGUAAAAUACUCCUCCUUUACACAAGGAGGGGGGGGAGAGUCCCCAAUGUGGAAAGAUCUGGAAAUGAACAGGGAAGUGAGGGAUCCUGCUGAGUGUCCCCUUUCCAAUCAAUGCUCCAUCCCUGAGCGACACCCUUCCCGACUUACCUCCUACCCCACCAAGAAAAUGACAACUUUGUGCCCCCUACC